rnacentral:piRNA from 1 species
UUGUUUUUAAAUUUCCUAUUA